rnacentral:hammerhead_ribozyme from 1 species
AUCCAGCUGUCGAACCCCGAAUAGGACGAAACGCGCGUCAAACUGGAU